AUUGAACGCUGGCGGCAUGCCUUACACAUGCAAGUCGAACGACAGCACGGGUGCUUGCACCUGGUGGCGAGUGGCGAACGGGUGAGUAUUACAUCGGAACGUACCUUAUCGUGGGGGAUAACGCAGCGAAAGCUGUGCUAAUACCGCAUACGCCCUGAGGGGGACAGCGGGGGAUCGCAAGACCUCGCGCGAUUAGAGCGGCCGAUGCCUGAUUAGCUUGUUGGUGGGGUAAAAGCCCACCAAGGCGACGAUCAGUAGCUGGUCUGAGAGGACGAUCAGCCACACUGGGACUGAGACACGGCCCAGACUCCUACGGGAGGCAGCAGUGGGGAAUUUUGGACAAUGGGGGCAACCCUGAUCCAGCAAUGCCGCGUGAGUGAAGAAGGCCUUCGGGUUGUAAAGCUCUUUUGUCAGGGAAGAAACACCGGCUCUAACACAGUCCGGGAAUGACGGUACCUGAAGAAUAAGCACCGGCUAACUACGUGCCAGCCGCCGCUGUAA
rnacentral:rRNA from 1 species